UUUACUUAUUUGCUGCUUUAGCUUAUAUGUAGAGUUCCAGCAAAAUGAGGUAUGGUGGGCAGCAUCUUAGGGUGGCCUGCAUGAUCCCAGCCUCCUGUGUUCAUGCCUUUGUAUCAUCUCCUCUGCUGAGUUUGGCUGGGACCUGCCUGGACUUGCUUCUAACUAACAGAACACGGAAAGGUGAUGGAUAUACACAUGUGCAUGGGAUUAUGUUACAUGAGAUGGUGGUACCCAUCUUGCUGGACUCUUUUUUUCCUCCCUUGAUGGCUUGGAGGAGGCGAAUGGCCAGGCUGAGGAACCCCACAUGGCAAGGACAGCAGGUGACCCCUAACUGCUGAGAGUGAUUUCUGGCCAAUACCCAGCAAGAAACUGAAGCCCUCAGUCCUACAACUGCAAGGAACUGAGUUCUGCCAACAACCCAAGACUGCACUCCCCACACAGUAUCACACAGAAGGUGCUGCCUCAGACUCCUAAGAAACAUCCAACAGUGAUGGCCCUAUGUUCAAUUCUUGACCGCACACAUUGCAGACUUGCAGCUGGCACUCCCUUCCUGGGUUCGUGUGAAGACAUCUGAAUACUGGUUCAAGCACACUGCAGUGAGAAUGGCACCCUGCAACAAGGUUGCAGCCUCCACCUCCAGAGGUGAGUCCAAGGACCCCAAGAACUCUGGCUGCGGAGGAGUGGAGGAACAAGAAGACCCCCAGGGCGAUGACACUGGCCCCCUCCUAUAAACAGUGGAGGCUGUGCUGUGCACAACCCCAGGGGGCACCAGUCAUAUGGACAGCGAUGUGAAUGGAGCUCCUCAGAGCUGUUUACACAGCUCAUAGAAAACUCUUAGAAACCCACAGCCCAGGGGGUCAGUUUGGGCCUGACGUAAUUGCAGGUAGGAGGCGCAUAUGUGAUUCAGGAAGAAGGUAGGGCUGGAAGGUGGGUGGAUGAAGCAGGGCGGGACUUUAGGAGAUGAUGAAGCCUCCCUAGGCAGGUUGGUCUGCCCCAGCAGGCGGGAGAUCCAGAGGCUGGUAAUCCCACAGCCCUCAGCCUCGCUGAGUGGCCACUGUGCAUCCAGAUUAGCAUCCCUUCCUGUUCUACCCGCUCCUUUGUUCACUGAAGAUGUGGCAGGCCCCGUGUGCCCAACAUUGUGCUGGUUUGGCGUAUAAAAUAGACAAGAUAGGGGGCCUGAUGACCUUAGGGAACAUAUAGUCUGGUGCAAUCCUACAGCUCUGGAACAAUGGA